rnacentral:misc_RNA from 1 species
GAUGAAGAACGUAGCGAAAUGCGAUAAGUAGUGUGAAUUGCAGAAUUCAGUGAAUCAUCGAAUCUUUGAACGCACAUUGCGCCCCAUGGUAUUCCGUGGGGCAUGCCUGUUCGAGCGUCAUUUACCCCCUCAAGCUCUGCUUGGUGUUGGGCGUCUGUCCCGCUUCGUGCGCGGACUCGCCCCAAAGAUAUUGGCAGCGGUCGUGCCAGCUUCUCGCGCAGCACAUUGCGCUUCUCGAGGCACCGGCGGGCCCGCGUCCAUCCAGCUCACCCCCCCAGUUUGACCUCGGAUCAGGUAGGGAUACCCGCUGAACUUAAGCAUAUCAAUAAGCGGAGGA